GUUCAAGCAAGCUAUGUUUGGUGAUUACAAUGGACUAAGUUGGUGCUUGGGGCCAAGAUUUGAAAAUUUUUAAAAGUCUUAGUUUUUUACACUUAGGAGCUGCAAUGUACUCUUUAAAUCCCCAAAUGACGACCAGUGUCAAAAUACAGGUGCAAGAAAUGUUUCAAUUUACUUGCUUUUCAAGAAAGCUAUGUUUGGUGGUGAGACAUUACUAGGUUUUUGCUUGGUGCUAAGAUUUGGAAAUUUUUGCAAGUGUUAGUUUUUUAGACUUAGGGGUUGCAAUGCACUCUUUAAAUCCUCAAAUUACGACUAGUUUCAAAAUAUAGGGUGAAGAAAUGUUUCAAUUUAGUUGCUUUUCAAGCAACCUAUGUUUGGUGGUGAGACUAGAUUAAGUUAGUGCUUGGUGCCAAGAUUUGGAAAUUUUUGAUAGUCUUGGUUUUUUAGACUUAGGGACUGCAAUGCACUAUUUAAAUCUCCAAAUGAUGACUAGGGUCCAAAUAUAGGUCCAAGAAAUGUUUCAAUUUAGUUACUUUUGAAGGAAGCUAUGUUUAGUAGUGACAUUGGACUAAGUUGCUACUUGGUGCCAAGAUUUGGAAAUUUUUGAUAGCCUUGGUUUUUUAGACUUAGGGGUGGCAAUGCACUCAUUAAAUCUCCAGAGGACGACUAGUGUCAAAAUAUAGGUGCAAGAAAUGUUUCAAGUUAGUUGCUUUCCAAGCAAGAUAUAUCUGGUGGUGAGACUCUACUUAGUUGGUGCAUGGUGCCAGGAUUUAGAAAUUUUUUAAAGUCUUGGUUUUUUAGACUUAGGGGCUGCAAUGCACUCUUUAAAUCACCAAAUGACGACUGAUGUCAAAAUAUUGGUGCAAGAAAAAUUUUAAUUUAGUUGUUGUUCAAGCAAGCUAUGUUUGGUGAUUAGAAUGGACUAAGUUGGUGUUUGGUGCCAAGAUUUGGAAAUUUUUCAACGUGUUAUUUUUUAGACUUAGGAGCUGCAAUGCACUCUUUAAAUCCCCAAAUGACGACUGGUAUCAGAAUAUAGUUGCAAGAAAAUUUUAAAUUUAGUUGUUGUUCAAGCAAGCUAUGUUUGGUGAUUAUAAUGGACUAAGUAGGUGCUUGGGGCCAAGAUUUGAAAAUUUUUAAAAGUCUUAGUUUUUUAAACUUAGGAGCUGCAAUGUACUCUAUAAAUCCCCAAAUGACGACCAGUGUCAAAAUACAGGUGCAAGAAAUGUUUCAAUUUACUUGCUUUUCAAGCAAGCUAUGUUUUCUGGUGAGACUGUACUAAGUUUGUGCUUGGUGCUAAGAUUUGGAAAUUUUUGCAAGUGUUAGUUUUUUAUACUUAGGGGUUGCAAUGCACUCUUUAAAUCCCCAAAUUACGACUAGUGUCAAAAUAUAGGUGGAAGAAAUGUUUCAAUUUAGUUGCUUUUCAAGCAAGCUAUGUUUGGUGGUGAGACUGGACUAAGUUGGUGCCUUGUGCCAAGAUUUGGAAAUUUUUGAUAGUCUUGGUUUUUUAGACUUAGGGACUGCAAUGCACUCUUUAAAUCUCCAAAUGAUGACUAGGGUCCAAAUAUAGGUCCAAGAAAUGUUUCAAUUUAGUUACUUUUGAAGGAAGCUAUGUUUGGUAGUGANUUUUGAUAGUCUUGGUUUUUUAGACUUGGGGGCUGCAUUGCACUCUUUAAAUCCCAAAAUGCCGACUAGUCUCAAAAUAUAUGUGCAAGAAAUGUUUCAAAUUAGUUGCUUUUCAAGCAAGCUAUUUUUAGUGGUGAGACUGGACUAAGUUGGUGCUUGGUGCCAAGAUUUGAAAAUUGUUGAAAGCCUUGGUUUUUUAGACUUAGGGGCUGCAAUGCACUCUUUAAAUCCCGAAAUGACGACUAGUGUCAAAACAUAGGUGCAAGAAAUAUUUCAAUUUAGUUGCUUUUAUAGCAAGCUAUGUUUGGUGGUGAGACUGACUAAGUUUGUGGUUGGUACCAAGAUUUGGAAAUUUUUUAAUGUCUUAGUUUUUUAGACUUAGGGGUUGCAUUGCACUCUUUAAAUCCCCAAAUGACCACUAGUGUCAAAAUAUAUGUGCAAGAAAUGUUUCAAUUUAGUUGCUUUUUAAGGAAGCUAUGUGUAGUGGUGAGAUUGGACUAAGUUGGUGCUUCGUGCCAAGAUUACGAAAUUUUUUAAAGUCUUGGUUUUUUAGACUUAGGGGCUACAAUGCACUCAUUAAAUCCCCAAAUGACGACUAAUGUCAAAAUAUAGGUGCAAGAAAUGUUUCAAUUUAGUUGCUUUUCAAGCAAGCCAUGUUUAGUGGUGAGACUAGAUUAAGUUGGUGCUUCGUGCCAAGAUUUGGAAAUUUAUUAAUGUCUUCGUUUUUUAGAGUUAGGGGCUACAAUGCACUCUUUAAAUCCCCAAACGACGACUAGUGUCAAAAUAUAGGUGCAAGAAAUGUUUCAAUUUAAUUGCUUUUCAAGCUAGCUAUGUUUGGUGGUGAGAUAGGACUACGUUCAAAGUUUGGUUUUUUAGACUUAGGGGCAGCAAUGCACUCUUUAAAUCCCCAAAUGAUAAUUAGUGUCAAAAUAUAGGUACAAGAAAUGUGUCCAUUUAGUUGCUUUUAAAGCAAGAUAUAUUUGGUGGUGAGACUGGUCUAACUUGGUGCUUUGCCCUAAAAUUUGGAAGUUUUAUAAAGUCUUGGUUUUUUAGACUUAGGGGCAGCAAUGCACUCUUUAAAUCCCCAAGUGACGACUAGUGUCAAAAUAUAGGUGCAAGAAAUGUUUCUAUUUAGUUGCUUUUCAAGCCAGCUAUGUUUGGUGGUGAGACUGGACUAAGUUGGUGUUUGGUGCCAAGAUUUGGAAACUUUUGAAAGUCUUGGAUUNNN
rnacentral:lncRNA from 1 species